UCCUGAGAGACGAUACCAUCCGCAGGGC
rnacentral:sRNA from 1 species